rnacentral:rRNA from 1 species
CCUACGGGAGGCAGCAGUGAGGAAUAUUGGUCAAUGGACGAGAGUCUGAACCAGCCAAGUAGCGUGAAGGAUGAAUGCCCUAUGGGUUGUAAACUUCUUUUAUCAGGGAAUAAAACGAGGCACGUGUGCCUUUUUGCAUGUACUUGAUGAAUAAGGAUCGGCUAACUCCGUGCCAGCAGCCGCGGUAAUACGGAGGAUCCGAGCGUUAUCCGGAUUUAUUGGGUUUAAAGGGAGCGUAGGGGGGUUGUUAAGUCAGUUGUGAAAGUGUGCGGCUCAACCGUAAUAUUGCAAUUGAUACUGGCAGUCUUGAGUACAGUAGAGGUAUGCGGAAUGCGUGGUGUAGCGGUGAAAUGCAUAGAUAUCACGCAGAACCCCGAUUGCGAAGGCAGCUUAC